rnacentral:tRNA from 1 species
CGGUGCCGUAGGUCGCCUUGACCACCCCGGGUCGCCAGCCGGCGUGCGCGAACAUGGCGGCGUGCGAGUCGCCGAGCACCGC